GGGACACCAUUGCAUUACAAACAUAAGUUAAUCAAUUACAUGUUUAUUUCAAUACCAUAAUAUUCCAAACCAAAUAAUUUUCCCAACAUUGCCAUUAUAUACUUCCAUAACAACACUUAAAACCUAACCAAAGCAUAAGCAUACAAACUACUUUAAUAAAUCCUAUAAUCUAUGGACCAUAUAAUUUAUGGUUUAUGAUCUAAGGACAUAAUUGCAUUACAAGGAAAGCCUCAAAGUUUGAUGUUGUAUGUUGUUUGGCCAUGGUACUUGCUUAAGGCCAUUUUCCUGCAUUUUUUUUCCAUGCCAUUUUAAGCUCCCUCUAAAUGUGCAAGUCACCAUCUAAUAGCAUGUUGCAGCCUACGAAACCACGAGUCAGUAGUUGUUAUACAACUUGAAAAAAACACAAAUGGAAAGGUUAUCACGAGACCUAAUGUCAUGGAAAUUAUUAAGCAUCACCACAUGAGUGUCAAACAGCAAAAAAAUAAAAUAUCAUAAUCCAAAUCAAAAUGUUUUCUAAAGUUCUCAUAUCAGUUGAAAACAAGAAGAACACCGGGAAGUGUUUUGAAUUAAGCAAUAUUUCAGGUCAUACAUCAGUUAAAGUUAUUUUUUACAUGACAGUAAAAAAAUCAAUUUUCUACCACAACAUGUACAUGUUUUGCGGCAGUAACGAUUCAGUGAGGGAUUCAGCAAAAGGAUCACACGUUUUUGAAAGAUUCCACUACAAAAAAAAAUCAUGCUUACCACCAUCAUUUUGGGACCACACCAAAUCUAAGGAAGAUUCUUUUCUAACGAAAUGAUUUGUUGCAUUUUCGCCAGCUCAUGGUCCAUACGUGAUCUGAAGACCUCAUAUUCAACUCUAUAAAAGAGACACAUCCAAUCAUUGAAAGACGAUGAAAUUUUUGGUAAUGUUACUCUAUUAAAAAAUUUCCUUAACAACCAAAGUUUCGAACCCAGAACAUUCAGAGUUUCUCACUAGAACUCUGAAUUGUUUGAGCUACAUUCAAGCAAGUUACGAAGUCAUAACCCCAUAGAAGAAGGAAUCAAAGAAAUCACAUAAAUAAGGAAGGAGAGGAAGCGAGCAGUGUACCUGAGAUUUCAUCGCCGUGUCAAAAUCAGAAGCUUUAACCGAAUUUCUUCUAGUUGCUUUUCUUGGCUUUUUUUGUUUAUUAAAUGUAUUAUGCAUAGCUGCUUAUUUUAACUAAUUGAUUAUGGAUAAGGUUGUUUCCUUAUUGGGAUUAUGUUUCAAAUUUGGGAUUUCCGAUCUGAUUGUAUGUUGUUUUCUCAAUAAUAUUGUUGGUUUAUCGUUGAUGAAGGGACGAAAUAAUGAUGGUUUAGGUUUAUGUUUUUUUGGUUUGGAUCUGGGCUUUCUGAAAUCCGAGUUUCAUGAAUGAUGAAUGUCAUAGAAGUUCAUCAUGUGUUCACACUAAGGGAUUGGCGAAAUCAUUUUGACUCCUUUUGUGUUUUUGCUUUAUAAGAGAUUUUUGAAACAGAGAAAUGUGAAUUUGAGUUUCCAUUCUUUUUGCAAGUGCUUGAUGUCGUGAGAAAGAGAGAGAGAGAGAGAGGUGGGGGGAUAUAUGUUCAAGGGGAAGGGAGAU
rnacentral:lncRNA from 1 species